rnacentral:miRNA from 1 species
CAAAAACUGCGGUUAAUUUUGC